UAGAGUUUGAUCCUGGCUCAGAUUGAACGCUGGCGGCAUGCUUUACACAUGCAAGUCGAACGGUAACAGGGUGCUUGCACCGCUGACGAGUGGCGAACGGGUGAGUAAUGCAUCGGAAUGUACCGUGUAAUGGGGGAUAGCUCGGCGAAAGCCGGAUUAAUACCGCAUACGCCCUGAGGGGGAAAGUGGGGGACCGUAAGGCCUCACGUUAUACGAGCAGCCGAUGUCUGAUUAGCUAGUUGGUGAGGUAAAGGCUCACCAAGGCGUCGAUCAGUAGCGGGUCUGAGAGGAUGAUCCGCCACACUGGGACUGAGACNCGGCCCAGACUCCUACGGGAGGCAGCAGUGGGGAAUUUUGGACAAUGGGCGCAAGCCUGAUCCAGCCAUGCCGCGUGUCUGAAGAAGGCCUUCGGGUUGUAAAGAACUUUUGUCCGGGAGCAAAUCCUAGUGGUUAAU
rnacentral:rRNA from 1 species